AUUGAACGCUGGCGGCAUGCCUUACACAUGCAAGUCGAACGCGAAAGCGGGGCAACCCGCAAGUAGAGUGGCGAACGGGUGAGUAAUACAUCGGAACAUAUCCAGUAGCGGGGGAUAACCUGUCGAAAGAUAGGCUAAUACCGCAUACGAUCUACGGAUGAAAGCAGGGGACCGCAAGGCCUUGCACUAUUGGAGUGGCCGAUGUCGGAUUAGCUAGUUGGUGAGGUAAAGGCUUACCAAGGCGACGAUCCGUAGCUGGUCUGAGAGGACGAUCAGCCACACUGGAACUGAGACACGGUCCAGACUCCUACGGGUGGCUGG
rnacentral:rRNA from 1 species